rnacentral:tRNA from 1 species
GGUCUCGUAGCUCAGCUGGUAGAGCAUGCGCGUACAAAGUGUAUGCGGCGUCCAUGCGUGGGUUCGAAUCCUACCGAGGUUA